rnacentral:rRNA from 1 species
CGGCGAGUGAAGCGGCAACAGCUCAAAUUUGAAAGCUGGCCCUUUUAGGGUCCGCAUUGUAAUUUGUAGAGGAUGAUUCGGCGAGGGCUCCUGCCUAAGUCCCCUGGAACGGGGCGUCAUAGAGGGUGAGAAUCCCGUAUGCGGUAGGUUGCCUUAGCCAUGUGAAUCUCCUUCGACGAGUCGAGUUGUUUGGGAAUGCAGCUCUAAAUGGGAGGUAAAUUUCUUCUAAAGCUAAAUACCGGCCAGAGACCGAUAGCGCACAAGUAGAGUGAUCGAAAGAUGAAAAGCACUUUGGAAAGAGAGUUAAAAAGUACGUGAAAUUGUUGAAAGGGAAGCGCUUGCAACCAGACUUGUCCGCAGUUGCUCAGCCGGUCUCCUGACCGGCGUACUCUUCUGCGGCCAGGCCAGCAUCAGUUCGGGCGGUCGGAUAAAGGCCUCGGGAAUGUAGCUCCUCUCGGGGAGUGUUAUAGCCCGGGGUGGAAUGCGGCCAGCCUGGACUGAGGAACUCGCUUCGGCAAGGAUGCUGGCGUAAUGGUUGUAAGCGGCCCGUCUUGAAACACGGACCAAGGAGUCUAACAUCUAUGCGAGUGUUCGGGUGUCAAACCCGUACGCGUAAUGAAAGUGAACGGAGGUGGGAACCCGCAAGGGUGCACCAUCGGCCGAUCCUGAUGUCUUCGGAUGGAUUUGAGCAAGAGCAUAGCUGUUGGGACCCGAAAGAUGGUGAACUAUGCCUGAAUAGGGUGAAGCCAGAGGAAACUCUGGUGGAGGCUCGCAGCGGUUCUGACGUGCAAAUCGAUCGUCAAAUUUGGGUAUAGGGGCGAAAGACUAAUCGAACCAUC